rnacentral:rRNA from 1 species
AGUGAACGCUGGCGGUAGGCCUAACACAUGCAAGUCGAACGGCAGCACAGUAAGAGCUUGCUCUUACGGGUGGCGAGUGGCGGACGGGUGAGGAAUACAUCGGAAUCUACUUUUUCGUGGGGGAUAACGUAGGGAAACUUACGCUAAUACCGCAUACGACCUACGGGUGAAAGCAGGGGAUCUUCGGACCUUGCGCGAUUGAAUGAGCCGAUGUCGGAUUAGCUAGUUGGCGGGGUAAAGGCCCACCAAGGCGACGAUCCGUAGCUGGUCUGAGAGGAUGAUCAGCCACACUGGAAGUGAGACACGGUCCAGACUCCUACGGGAGGCAGCAGUGGGGAAUAUUGGACAAUGGGCGCAAGCCUGAUCCAGCCAUACCGCGUGGGUGAAGAAGGCCUUCGGGUUGUAAAGCCCUUUUGUUGGGAAAGAAAAGCAGCAGGUUAAUACCCCGCUGUGCUGACGGUACCCAAAGAAUAAGCACGGGCUAACUUCGUG